AUAUUGCUGGGACAGUGGCCUUUGGAUGCAAGGACUUUACUGAGUGAGAGGGACUUUGAAGCUGUGCACCUGUGUCGAUGAACACCCCCCAGAUGAAAAACUGCAGCUGAAAAGGAUGAAAGCAGUAAAGGCUCAAUGGUUUUUGCUUCCUAAUUAUAUGGUUGGGACUUCCAUUUUACAUUGUGUUCUAAGUUCGCUUCAUUUCAAAGGCACAUAUUAAAGCAGCAACAAGAGAAACAAACCCAGAGAGUUGAAGGAUGAUGCAGAGGGGUGAAGUUAUUAGGAGCUACCCUGAAGCUGCACUUGGAUUGACUGUGGGGCACCAGUCAGAGCCAACACGCCUUGAGAAAACAGAAGGUUUUACUGCAAGUGAAGACUAUGGUACAGACCUCUUUGAAAACAAGCUCAGUGUGGAGGAUUUUGUGAAGAUACAACAGGUCUUUGAGGUAAGUGCUAGAUUUACUGACCAGAGGCUUUGGGCUGUUCACAAAGGACAGUAACAUGAAAUAUGUACUUUUGCUGAAAUAUACCAUAAUAUCAUGCCUAAGAGAUAGUUCAGUUAACAAGGUGUCAGCUAUAAGAGUAUGAAGACCUGAGUUUGAUACCUAGCACCUGUAUGAAAAUCCCAGUGCUGAAGAAGUAGACAUAGUUUCUGGGGCUCACUGGCAAUGCCAUCUGCAUAGUCAGUGAGUCAUCCAGUCCUAGUGAAAGACCCUGUCUCAAAAUAUAUGGUGGAUAUACCCUUAAAAUGAUCUAUGGCUUCCACAUAUUUGUAGGUAUACAUGUUUAUACACACACACACACACACACACACACACACACACACACACACACAAACUUCAAUAUAUUGUAAUAGUCAAAGCAGGGAUUUGAAAUAGUCACACUCAAGGUUAAUAUCAAGUGCUUAGUAGCAUUCUCCUUUAAUUUAUUUUUCUGGGCCAAACACUAUCAAUUAAUUUGAAGCUGCUGCAUAAAAUUAUCACCACUAUAAAAAGGUACAAUUUAUUAUUGCAUAUUUUUCUAGAAAUUAAUACAUUUGUACCAAAAAGUAAAACUUAUGAUUUAUAAACUCAGAUGACUAAAUUAAUCUCUUGGUAAGUAACUGUCCUUACACUUGAUACAAAGUAGAACUGGGAAUAUGCAAAUAUAUGAGCCCAAUUUGUGAAAAUAUAUUUCUACCUCUCUCUGAAUGACAUAUCCCCUAUCAAAGAUGACAUGGGCACUGUGGGGUCCUACAGUCCUAAUGGGGACCCACCUCUCACACUUCUUAUUCUUUCCUGGACUAAUGUGAAUCAAAGCAAAAUUUGAGGUUUCUGUUUUAAUUCUACAUAGAAAAUAAACCACAUGAAAACCACAGCUGAUCAACUUCCCUCUCCUUACCUUAUAUAAUUAAUUCAUAAUUAUUUUACUAUAUAAAUUGAAUAACAUUCUUCAAAGUGAAAUUUAAGUUCCAAUGCAUGCAGGAGGAACACUGUUCAGAGCCAUGGAAUUUAGACAGACAUAAACCUAUAACCCCUCUGCUUCAUUAAACUUGCUAAGAUGUGCUCUCAGGGCUGCAUGAGCUCUUCCAAGAGGUGCUUGGAAUGCCUGUAUUAAUUGAAAGUAGACAUAUAAUGUUUUGGAAUUUAAUCUUGAAAUUAAUAAAACAUGAAAUCUAGCAAUUAUACAGAACUGUAAUUGGCACACAUUUUAACCUUUAGCUACCACAAAGUAAAAAAUAAAUAGAUGUGGUAACUAGAGAGAUGGCUCUUCAGUAAAGCUCUACCAGAAGACCUAAGUUCAGGUCUGAGUUAGGUAACUCAAACAUUACCUGUAACUCUAUUUCUAGAAGGAUUGCUGCCUCUAGCCUCUAUAGGCACACACACACACAGACACACAUACAUAUAUAAAGAGAGAGAGACAGCGACAGAGACAAAGAUACAGAGAGAGAGACACACACACAGAGACAGAAAGCAAAUUAAAACUAAAUCAACUUAACAAAGGCAUUUACUGUUAAAAAUAUACUUGAUACUUCUUUGUAAAAUAAUUUAGAAUCUAUAUAUAUGAGUUUCAAUCAUUUCUGUGUAACAAAAUCUAUCAUAUUUAAUAACAUCAGACACACUGCAUUUCAUCCUUUUAAUCUUUCCAUAUUUGCUAUUCAUCUAACCCCAUUUGUCUGAAAGAUUCCACUGUGUCUCAUGCUUACUGCCCUAGAUGAAUUUGGCAUGUUUUGAUAGUCACUGAAAACAUUUUAACAACUUGAGGACAAUCAAGAAAAUAGAACACCAGAUUAUGACAGCUUUGGCUUCAGAAUAAAUGGCAGAAAUGUGGCAGUUUUAUUCUGGUGCUGAGAACACAAACAAUUUGAAUAAUGAGGUCUAUACAAGAGUUAAGGUGUUAUAAAGUAGAUGUGUUAACGAAACUGCUACUGAAUGUUAGGGAACCAUUUGAAAUACAGGAUAGUUGUGAAUGAACCAAAUCCAAACUACAGCAUUCAAGGGAAGUUUGAAUGCUUUUUUGUGUAAUUUUAAGUCUUUAAAAGACUUACCACUUAUUUUGAAAUUUGC
rnacentral:lncRNA from 1 species